UACGGGCGACGGAAGCGGGAAAAGCCCACAUUGGUAAUCUCCGGGCGGUAGCUCGGCGAAUUGUAAUCUGAAGAUCGUUAGUCUAAUUGGGCCCGACGCCGAAGUGCGCGCGAGCGCGCCGCCAAAGAGGGUGAGAGCCCCGUCAGGCGCUGGGCCCUACACGGGCUGGCAAUCGAAGAGUCGUGUACUUUGAUACUAGUGCACCAAGCGGGAGAUAAACUUCUUCUAAGGCUAAAUAUAAGUAGGAAACCGAUAGCGAACAAGUACUGUGAAGGAAAGAUGAAAAGCACUUUGGAAAGAAAGUUAAAAGACUUGAAAUCGUUGAGGCGGACCCGGUAGAAAUGUAUUCUAGCGAAGCGCUCGGGGAAGCCUGUAUUCGGGCCACUUGAGAGCUAGCCGAGACAAGAUGGAGUCGCAUCAUGCCAGAGGCGGCAUGCUCUGUAGCUUGCUAUANAGCGCGGUGGCCGGGUGUGGCGCGGCUUGAGGGGCCUUGUGCGAUCUUGUCAAAAUGGUUUUUACCGACUCGUCUUGAAACACGAACCAAGGAGUCUAAGACUAACGCGAGUGUGGUGGUGGAGAAACCAACACGCGAAAUGAAAGUAAAUGAUGCCAAGAACCCUGCAGCAUCGACCGACUUUUU
rnacentral:rRNA from 1 species